rnacentral:rRNA from 1 species
AAUAUUGCACAAUGGGCGCAAGCCUGAUGCAGCCAUGCCGCGUGUAUGAAGAAGGCCUUCGGGUUGUAAAGUACUUUCAGCAGUGAGGGAAGGUGGGUAUGUUAAUAGCAUACUCAUUUGACGUUAGCUGCAGAAGAAGCACCGGCUAACUCCGUGCCAGCAGCCGCGGUAAUACGGAGGGUGCGAGCGUUAAUCGGAAUUACUGGGCGUAAAGCGCAUGCAGGUGGUUUGUUAAGUCAGAUGUGAAAGCCCGGGGCUCAACCUCGGAAUUGCAUUUGAAACUGGCAAACUAGAGUACUGGUAGAGGGGGUAGAAUUUCAGGUGUAGCGGUGAAAUGCGUAGAGAUCUGAAGGAAUACCGGUGGCGAACGGCGGCCCCCCUGGACAGAUACUGACACUCAGAUGCGAAAGCGUGGGGAGCAAACAGGAUUAGAUACCCUGGUAG